UACAGAGGUCCCAAGCGUUGUUCGGAUUCACUGGGCGUAAAGGGUGCGUAGGCGGUCGGGUAAGUCUGAUGUGAAAUCUCACAGCUUAACUGUGAAACUGCAUUGGAUACUAUCCGGCUCGAGGAAUGGAGGGGAGACUGGAAUACUUGGUGUAGCAGUGAAAUGCGUAGAUAUCAAGUGGAACACCAGUGGCGAAGGCGGCCAACUGGACGAAUACUGACGCUGAGACACGAAAGCGUGGGGAGCAAACAGG
rnacentral:rRNA from 1 species